UUUGUUCUUGAUAGGUGUCCUGUAAACAUUCUAUAGCUUUGACAUAAACAGACAGUUUUUCCUUUUUAUAGAAUUAAACGGUCAUAUUUAUCACGAUCACUAAAUUUGGCUGUUAUGAUGUGAAUGUAUGUGUGUGUGUACGCGUGUGUAUGUGUGUGCAUGUGUGUGUGCAUGUGUGUAUGUAUGUAUAUGUAUGUGUGUAUGUGUGUUUCCUUUCCCUAUGUUUGGAUUGAUCAUUUUUUGUUUGUUCUUUUUGAUUGAUGAUUUGGAAUCCUGUUGUUAUUCUACCAGUGGUUACCCUUGAAUCUGAAAACACAUAUAGACCUAUAGUUUUUUUAUUCACUUGAAUAAUUUGUCAAUAUCUUCUGAUCUGAACAAGGAGGGACCUUAGCAUACUGUUCUUCUCUACUUCUCUUGCAAUAUACACUCUACCCCAAAUCUCAGGAAUUUUAGUUUUAGAAUAUUAGUUUUAAAUUUGUUCAAAUAUACUUUCUUCUGUUUUAUACAUUAAUUUUUAUCGAAGGCAUUCAUAUUUUCAGCCACCUAUCGAGUGAUUAUUUGCCCUCAAAUAUAUGCUGUACCAGUCCCUUUGCCUGUUUCUUCUAUAUCAUAUCCUGUCUUCCAUGGAUUCCUGCUCCUAGACGCACAACAUCUUCCACAUAAAAUCAGGACCCAAUUUUAUGUGGAGAGGGUGGGCUGCACGAGGAGGUACACUUGGAAUGCCCACCUCCCUGGGCUACUUGACCUCCCUCCAUAGCCAACUUCUCUUCAGUGGCAGAUCACGUGGCAAAAACAUGUUGUCAGACUGACAGCAAACUUGCCUCUCCUCCCUUCACACUCACAAGUAGGAAGCAUAAAACAUCUCAGAAGUGCUCUAGGAGGAUAAUCAGUAGCCAUAAACCCUUGGACCACAGAGCUACGAGGCAGAAGAAUAUUACUCUUCUGGGCACCCAAAAGGCUCUGGAUAAGAAGGGAGGAGAGUACGGAUGGGGCUGAAAACAUGCUCAGAAUGGCUGAUUUGAGGGCUUUCCCCCGGAAACUUCCUCUUGUUUUGUAUUGUCAAAAGGGUUGAGAACCUUAAAACAGACAUUUGUGUGGGCAAGUAUCUGAUGUUCGAUGCCAUACUUCACUGGAAAUAACGACCUUGACAAAAGCCAAACAUCUGUUCCAAGUAAAACAAAAGCAGAGAACACACAACCUCGCCGCGUCCAAAGGGCAAGCCACGCUGGUGCAGGAACGAAGCCUCCCGCCUCAGAGGGCGCGGGGCUCUGUGCUGUGUCCUGUCUCCUGUCAGCCGGCUCUGCCCGCACGCUGAGCUGCAGUUAUGGCUCCGGGAGCAAACAACCCGGAAGUGGCAGCGCGGCUGGGCGGAGGAGGGCGCCCUCCUGGUUCCGCUGGGGCUGCGGCUCCCUGAGGCCCCGAGGGGACCCCGCUCACCUGGGCCUCGCCCACCAGAGGGCGCCAGAGAGAAGCCACCGGGGAGGCGCCUGCGCCGUUUCCCUGAGGCUCCUGGUACCCCGUUUGAGACACAGGAAAAAACGUGUGAAAGGCUUCUGUUAACUAUCAAGUGUGGUGACGUAGGAACACCAGGCAGCCCACUCCCAACCCCAAACAACAUCUCAUUCAAGCUGCGUCUACCAGAAGCUCUCACAUCCAACUGCCUCCCUCCAGAGAUGGGAGUUCCCCUGCACAAGCUCUCUUACCUACCACCAUGUGAGAUGUGACUUUGCUCCUCCAUCGCCUUCCACCAUGACCAUGAGGCUUCCGCAGCCACGUGAAACUACGCUGAGGUGGCCUGCAGUGUCCAGGGAGACACUGUCCUGACUUCAAGGAUGGAGCAUCCAAAGGGUCUGAGGAGACUAAGAGUCUUCUGGCAGGCUGAAGCCCAGACCCCCACUCUGCACCCAGCAGGCCUGGCCAUGUAGAUGAGGCACUGUGAGCCCAUGGGGGUUGACUCACUUCCUUGUUUGGGCCAAAGGCCCACAACUGAUUGGUAAAGCAGUGUAGGUGGUCACAGAAAGUGCCCAUAGGUAGAACUGAGAUGAUAACUGUGCUCAGGAGAAACCUAGCAAUUUAUCUUAGUGACCAAGUGCAGAAAAUAAGACAUGGAGAAAACAGUCAUUGCAAAAGAACCAGAGACGUGGCCAUGGCUGAUUUAAAGUGCUUCUUAAUUUCAUCACAGGAAGACAACUGGCCCCUUUAAUUUUCCAAACCUUCUAACAUCCUUCAACUCAAUCAAUCGGCACAUGUUUUUAAUCUCUGGCCAAUGAUUAUCUAUUUUCCAUGACAGUAUAUGUAAUAGCAUUUCAGCAACCCAAGAUUUGAACACUUCCUCUAAUUUAUUCAAAUGUGAUAUAACCUUCAGCUAUGCCGGAUUUUCCUAAUCAAACACACCACUUUUCUUAAAAAAUAAUGUUGAUUUAUAAAAACAUUCAGUAUCAAAGGUCACUGCAACACUGAUUUAAGGUUAUUUCAUGGCCCACAAUAAGUAACCAUGUUUGUAGCAUUUAAACCUCAAAAUCCAAGCUAAGUGGUAAGAUGUGGGAGCACCUGCUACAUACCUGGAAUUGUCCUAGGGCUACGGGGAUCCUCAAAGCCCAAUGAGAGUCCCUCAUCUUCCAACGUUUUGGGAUCCUCAGGCAGCAGCGCCAUCCCCAGCAAGACUCCGCAGGUCUGAGUCACCUGACCACCGUCAACCAGGCACUCCCUGGGGGACCCUGUGCUCAGCCUAUGGGAAACAAGCUAAGCAAAGGGACUUCUUCAACUCUGGGGUCGGUGAGACACCCACCAACAAUUAGACACAGGAUGUUCCCUUGGGAGAGGUCUCUGUAUUCAUCUGUUCUCACACUGCUAUAAAAAAAUACCUGAGACUCUGUAAUUUAUAAGAAAAAAAGGUUUAAUUGGCUCAUGGUUCUGCAGGCUGUACAGGAAGGAGAGUGGUAUCUGCUUCUGGGGAGGCCUCAGGAAGUUUCCAGUCAUGGUGGAAGGUGAAGGGGGAGCAGGUGCCUCACAUGGCAAAAAAGGAACAAGAAAGAGGGGGAGACACCACACUCAAUGACCAAAUCUCAGGAGGGAGAUGCCACACUCAACUGAACACAUCUCAGGACGGAGACGCCACACUCAACAACUUACAUCCCAGGAGGGAGACGCCACACUUUCCACUGACUAGAUCUCAGGAGGGAGACACCAUACUCAACGACCAGAUCUCAGGAGGGAGACGCCACACUCAACGACCAGAUCUCAGGAGGGAGACGCCACACUCAACGACCAGAUCUCAGGAGGGAGACGCCACAUUCAAGUGACCAGAUCUCAGGAGGGAGACGCCACACUUUCCACUGACCAGAUCUCGGGAGGGAGACGCCACACUUUCCACUGACCAGAUCUCAGGAGGGAGAUGCCACACUCAACGACCAGAUCUCAAGAGGGAGACGCCACACUCAACGACCAGAUCUCAGGAGGGAGACGCCACACUCAACGACCAGAUCUCAGGAGGGAGACGCCACACUCAAUGACCAGAUCUCAGGAGGGAGACGCCACACUCAACGACCAGAUCUCAGGAGGGAGACACCACACUCAAGUGACCAGAUCUCAGGAGGGAGAUGCCACACUCAAGUGACCAGAUCUCAGGAGGGAGAUGCCACACUCAAGUGACCAGAUCUCAGGAGGGAGAUGCCACACUCAACUGAACACAUCUCAGGACGGAGACGCCACACUCAACAACUUACAUCCCAGGAGGGAGACGCCACACUCAAGUGACCAGAUCUCAGGAGGGAGACGCCACAUUCAAUGACCAGAUCUCAGGAGGGAGACGCCACACUUUCCACUGACCAGAUCUCAGGAGGGAGACGCCACACUCAACGACCAGAUCUCAGGAGGGAGACACCACACUCAACGACCAGAUCUCAGGAGGGAGACGCCACACUUUCAACUGACCAGAUCUCAGGAGGGAGAUGCCACACUCAACGACCAGAUCUCAGGAGGGAGACACCACACUCAACGACCAGAUCUCAGGAGGGAGACGCCACACUCAACGACCAGAUCUCAGGAGGGAGACGCCACAUUCAAGUGACCAGAUCUCAGGAGGGAGACGCCACACUUUCCACUGACCAUAUCUCAGGAGGGAGACGCCACACUUUCAACUGACCAGAUCUCAGGAGGGAGACGCCACACUCAACGACCAGAUCUCAGGAGGGAGACGCCACACUCAACGACCAGAUCUCAGGAGGGAGAUGCCACACUCAACUGACCAGAUCUCAGGAGGGAGAUGCCACACUCAACUGACCAGAUCUCAGGAGGGAGAUGCCACACUUUCCACUGACCAGAUCUCAGGAGGGAGACGCCACACUUUCAACUGACCAGAUCUCAGGAGGGAGAUGCCACAUUCAUCGCCAUCUAAUAAUUUUGCUAAAAUUCUCAUUUUUUCUACAUACUAUUCUUUUCAGUAAAGUUAAUUCAUUACGUGUAUAAUUACUAAGCUAAUAUCUUUAAUUUUUAAGACUUUACACAAAUAAACUCAUAAGUAAGGAGCCCUCCUUUGUCAGCUCACACAGGCUGGUGAUGGUUUAGGCAGUCACUCACCAUCAUCCUAUCCAAUCUGCUGCUAACCCAGAAGUUCCAACUGUGCUGAUUUUGCCCCCAGGAAACAUUUGGUGACGUCUGGAGACAUUUUUUUAUUGUCACAACUGGAAGGGGGCUGCCACUGGUACCUGGUGGGUGGAGGCCAGGGAUGCUGCUUAGCACCUGUGAUGCACAGGAUGGCCCCACGCAGAGAACAACCCAGCCCCAAGGUCAGUAGCACCAAGGCUGGGGGCUGCUCUGCUGGCACAUGGACUCUUAACACUGAAUUAUCAUAGCAAAUGCAUUCUCUCCCCAACUCUCCAGCCCCACACGGCUGGGGCAGACACACCUCCCUCUGCCAUUUUCCUCUCCAGGACACCUCUUCCCACAGGCCUGGGUGUCCUUUGAUACUUCCUAAGAGCCAGAGCCUCCCAGUCUCCCAAACUUUGCUCCUGCCCCACAGCCUCUUGGGCAACAUCUGAGCCACCAGCCCACCAAGAGCAAAGAUCAGCAACGGCCCAAAGUACAAUUGGGGCCGCUGUCAGGGUGGGGUCCCCUGUGUGCCCAAUGGGACACCUGGCUCGGCUCUGUGAGUCUUGUGGGGAGACAGCCCAGAGGGAGGAAGGUGCUUAGUGUGGCCUGGCCCCCAAGCCCACAUCUGGACCUGGCUGAGGCCAUCCUGCAGGACUUGAUUGAACACUUUCUUCCUGUGUUCCUGCUGUGGGGAGGACCCCUCGGUACCAGGGCCACAGUUGGAAAGGACCACCCCAGGGGAGCUCAUGAGAAUGCUCAAAACUCAAACAACCCAAUAAAGCAUGAGCAAAAAUGUUGAACAGACACUUCAACAGAGUACAUAUACAGAUGGCAAAUAAACACAUGAAAAGGUGUUCAAUAUCAUUAGUCCUUAGGUAAAUGCAAAUUAAAACCACAAGGACACAGCACCGUAUACCUGUUAGAAUGUCAAACGUUACCAACCGAGUGUUGGAACCUUGUGGAGGAAGCAGAACACUCAGAGAUUACUGGGGGGAUGUAACAUGAUGCAGCCACUCCAGAAAGGUUGGUAGAAUGUUAAACUUGCACGUACCUUACAGUCGUUCCAUUCCUAGGUAGCCAAGAGAAAUGAAAGCACGAGUCCAUAUGAUGACUGGUACAUGAAUAUUUGUAGCAGCUUUUUUUGCAAUAGCUGAAAGCUUUAAGCAAUGCAAAUGUCCGUCAAGUGAACAGGUAAACAGCACAAUGGAGCGCUAUUUGCCAAGAGGAAGAAAUGAACUAUGGUUUCUCACCACAUGGAUGAAUCGCAAGUAAUUGUGCUGAGCGAAAAAAGCCAGACUCUCAUCCCCGAAAAAAGAGUACAUGCUAUAUAAUCCAUUUACAUAAAAUUCAAAUAGUGCAAACUAGUCUACAGUGUCAGAAAGCUGAACUUUAUCACCUGAGGGGCAGGACACAGGAAGGGACAGGAAAGACGUUCAAACAUACAUGAAAAACGUUGGGGGCGAUGGAUGCGUCCAUUCUCAUAGACGCUGCGAUCCUUUCAGGGGUGUAUGUGCAUGUCAAAACUUAUUGCAAUGUAUUCUUUAAAUAUGUGAAGUUUAUUAUAUGCUAAUUAUACCCCCAUAAACCUAUUAAAACAAAAUCACAACAUAUCAAAACUCUUGGAAUGCAGCCAAAGCCAUUAUAACCUAAAAUAUACGCAUUAAAAAAGAAAAAAUGCUGAAUAUCAACAAUCUGAAUGUCCAUAUAAAAAAGCUAGAAUAAGCAGAAGGAAAUCACAAAGAUGAGAACAGAAAUAAAUGAAUUAGAAGGCAGAUGUUCACCAAGAAAAAUCAAGAAAACCAAAGGCACAAGCUCCACGUGCCUUGGAAAGACUAAUGAGAUGAAGCCGCCAGCAGCACUGGUCAAGAACAGCAGAGUGCCCAGAGUCCCAGCUGUGCGGGGGGCUGUAAGGGAGGAUCACUAGAGCCCAGGAGUUUGAGUCUGGUGUGGGCAACACAGUAAGACCUUGGUCUCGGAAAAAAAAAAAAAAAAAAAAAAAGGAGACAAGACACAAAUUGCCACUAUCAGCAUUGAAAAAUGCACAUGACUACAGAUUUUGUAGACAUUAAGGCUAGUAGAAAGAUACUAGUAACAAAUUUAUAUGGACAAACUUGAAAAUUUAGAUUAAAUGUACCAAUUCAUUUUUAAAAAGGACUGAACAAAGCAGAUCUAAUAGGAAAUAGAGAAUCUGAAUACUUCAACCAUUUAUUUUAAAAAAUUAAAUCUGGAAAAAAAAAAACCUCACUAAAGAGGAAACUCCAAGCCUAGAUAGAGAGCUUUACUAGUGAGUUCUUCCAAACAUUUAAGAAGAAAUAAAACCAAUGCUACAUAAACUCUUGCAAAUUUUUUUAAAUUAUUCUUUAAGUUCUGGGGUACCUGUGCAGAAUGUGCAGGUUUGUUACAUAGGUAUACACGUGUCAUGGUGGUUUGCUGCACCCAUCAACCCGUCAUCUACCUUAGGUGUUUCUCCUCAUGCUAUCCCUUCCCUAGCUCCCCACCCCCUGACAAGCCCCAGUGUGUGAUGUUCCCCUCCCCGUGUCCAUGUGUUCUUAUUGUUCAACUCCCACUUAUGAGUGAGAACAUGCAGUGUUUGGUUUUCUGUUCCAGUGUUAGUUUGCUGAGAAUGAUGU